CGCCGCAGUCUCUCUCGCCCGCUGCGGCGGGACUCCGGGGAGCUUUCUCCCCACCACCACCACCCCCCGGGGAGCCAGCCCCCCACGCGUGACGGGCCUGGCGUCGCCGGGAGCUGCGAGGCGGGCCUCCCCAGGACCGUGGGCGGAGACGGGACACGGCGUGCGCACCCACGGGCGGGCUCGGCUCCACGCGGCGGGACGCGCGGUCCCGUUAGCCUCCCGGCGGGAUGACGGAGUUCUGCCUUUUACAUUUGUUUGGGAAACAGUUUUCUGAAUUGCAGCAAUGAAGUCCUGUGAUUUACAGGAGCUGUCCGUCAUUUAAUCUGCAUCAUCCAUGUUUUGUUGCCAGUUCUUUAUAACGUGCUCCAUUAAAAUGUAGACGAGAUUAGCCGUGUU